GGCGUGUAGCUCAGCGGGAGAGCACUACGUUGACAUCGUAGGGGUCACAGGUUCAAUCCCUGUCACGCCCACCA
rnacentral:tRNA from 1 species